rnacentral:sRNA from 1 species
UUGCUACUGGUAGCCCAGUUAGGGCGGU